GUGCUUGCUCUCACAGCACAUAUACUAAACUUGGAAAAAUAAAGAGAAGAUUAACAUGGCUCUGUGCAAGGAUAACAUGCAAAUUCGUGAAGCGUUCCAUAUUUUU